rnacentral:rRNA from 1 species
AAUGAACGUUGGCGGCGUGGAUUAGGCAUGCAAGUCGCGCGAUAAGUCCCCGCAAGGGGAUGGAAAGCGGCGAAAGGGUCAGUAAUGCGUAGAUUACCUACCCCCGGGCCCGGGAUAGCUGCGGGAAACUGCAAUUAAUACCGGAUAACGUCCCCGGACCAAAGGUGUGAUUCCGCCUGGGGAUGGGUCUGCGUCCUAUUAGCUAGUUGGCGUGGUAACGGCACACCAAGGCAAAGAUGGGUAGCAGGUGUGAGAGCACGACCUGCGUCACUGGGACUGAGACACUGCCCAGACACCUACGGGUGGCUGCAGUCGAGGAUCUUCGGCAAUGGGCGCAAGCCUGACCGAGCGACGCCGCGUGCGGGAUGAAGGCCUUCGGGUUGUAAACCGCUGUCAGAGAGGCGGAAAUAUAGGGGGGUACUCCCUUCUAUUUGACCUAUUCUCAGAGGAAGUGCGGGCUAAGUCCGUGCCAGCCGCCGCAGUAAGAC